rnacentral:rRNA from 1 species
AGAGAGAGACAUGCGCGCAUAUCAAUAAGCGGAGGAAAAGAAACUAACAAGGAUUCCCCUAGUAACGGCGAGUGAAGCGGGAAGAGCUCAAAUUUGAAAUCUUAAAGGGUUUCCCUUUACGAAUUGUAGUUUAAAGAAGUGUUUUCUGUUGGAGGUUUUGGUAAAAGUUCUUUGGAAUAGGACAUCAUAGAGGGUGAGAAUCCCGUAUUUGACCUUUACUUUCAACUUUGUGAUACACUUUCAAAGGGUCGGAUUGUUUGGGAAUGCAGUCCAAAAUGGGUGGUAAAUUUCAUCUAAAGCUAAAUAUUGGCGAGAGACCGAUAGCGAACAAGUACCGUGAGGGAAAGAUGAAAAGAACUUUGAAAAGAGAGUUAAACAGUACGUGAAAUUGUCAAAAGGGAAGCGUUUGACACCAGUGUUGUUUUUCUGAAAAUCAAUUAAAGAACUGUUUAUGCUAAGCUGUUUAGACUUUAUCAGCUAACUGUUUAGUUUUGAGCUUUUCUUUAAUGCACUUUUCAGUUAACAAGUCAACAUCAAUUUCUUUUGCUGUAAAAAAGCUUGAGGAAGGUGGCUUGAGAUUCGUCUUAAGUGUUUAUAGCCUCUUGCCUAUGCAGUCGGAGAGAUUGAGGUCUGCAGCGUAGAUCCUUCGGGGCUAAAUGCAUUUGUGCUAAGUUAUAGCAUUUUAUAGACAACUUGUUGACUAUGAUUUGUCUUGUAGCUUACUCGCUUAUGUUAUUUUACCUACGCUUAGGAUGUUGAGCGCAUGUCUCUCUCU